rnacentral:rRNA from 1 species
CACGGGAGCUACGUGAACGGGUGGCGGCGAGAGGAGACGGGGUUGGGGUUGGGGCGGCGGCGGAGUUAGGGUGGCGGCGGCCGGAGGAGGAGGAGAUCGCGGAGGCGAGGUCGGGGAGUGGAAGAGUCGGACCUAGGCGUGCUGUUCCACACCCCGAUACCCUCUCUUCCGAGGUAUAGCGCGCUGUUCCACUCCCCCGCGGGUCUAGGCGUCGCCGUGGUGGCGCGGGAGCAGGUGGACCGGGAGCUCCAGCCGGUACCUCCAGGCCGGGCUGGUUACCUACCUACCCCUACUUUGGGAUCGGGUUGUGGGUGGGUACCUACCUACCCCUACCCCGCUGCUGCCGCCACCGCCGCCGCCGGAAGAGAGCCACGAACGACUACACCACCUGUAGCUGCAGCCACUGCCCAACGUCGUGCAUCUGUAGUUUCCGACGCCCACAGUGCCUCCUCGUGGUACCGUCCGCACGUCUGGUACCGAGCGAUACCUUCCGGGAAGGGAAGGGAGAGAGACAAGCCCGGUACGAGUCCGUCAGAAAAGAGAAGAGAAGGGCGUUUUUUUCAGAAAAGAGAAGUACUAGACUUGUACAACUUCCGGUAAUAAAGAGGUGACGGCCUCAGAUCGGAGGGAGGCACCCUACGGUACCUCUACUUUGAGGGGAGCUGCUUUCUUAAGUUCCCGUACACCCUCUCUCUCCUCCAGGUACCUCUUCUUCGAGACGAGGUUGGGAGGGACGGAGGAUUAUGUUCUACAGAAAAAAACACACACGAACAUAACGUCGUCGGUACACGCAUAGUUUUUUUCCCAGGUCAAACGUCGUCAGUGUACUAUACCUGUACAAAAAAGUAGUGUUAACCUAAAAACCUAAAUGAUCCGUUUAACCACCACCAACAACAACAACAACAAAAUCGUCGUCGUCGUCGUCCGCCUCACUGCUACAACCGAUACACGUCCGGUACCUCCGAAACUACUCGUGCUCCCCUUCCGGCGACGAAGUUGGGGCAAUUCGAAUGCACACCCUAAACGAAGCCUUCAACAGGUGCACUCAGUUACCCACGACGAAGUACACCCGUAGGAAAGACACCACAUACAACCUCUCCAAUGUGUGGACUACUACAAAUGCCGAUCCGUGUCCUUGUUCGUCUCCGGCUCCUUCACGCCCGUGCGCGUCGACCGGAACCGUCCACAUCCUUGGCACGCUCCUUCCAAGUCGCGCGACGUGUUCAGCCCGGUGCGGGCCUCGCGGCACGGUUGCGUACACACGCACCAGCCACCCAAUCGGUUCUAGACGUAAGACGCUGAAGUAGAAGUGGUACCUGUGUUCGUUCCUGACUAACCACCAAGAACCAUCGCCACGGCUCGUAGCCGCCUAGCUUCACCAGCUCCAGCGCCAAUUAGGUGGUCCUGCUCUGUACGUAGAACCUCGAUCGCGUCUCCCCCCUUCUUCGUCCAACCAUACCGGGCCUUGAAAACGCGUUUCUUUUGUGUGUGUCCCGUCCUUGUACUGAUGAGAAGGGGAAGGUUCAAAAACUAGCUAGCUUGAGAAGCCACUGGUCUUUUACUCUUUUUCCGUCCGGCAGCUACAUGUCUGGUGUCCACGAGCCUGCGUGCCGGCCGUAGUACCAGCAGUAUUGAGUAUUGGGUACUCCACCACUGGUUCGUUCUUUCCUUCCUUGAAAGCGCGUUUCUUUUGUGUGUGUCCCGUCCUUGUACUGAUAAGAGCGGGAAGGUACAAAGACUAGCUAGCUUGAGAAACCACUGGUUUUUUACUCUUUUCCCGUCCAGCAGCUACAUGUCUGGUGUCCGCGAGCCUGCGUGCCGGCCGUAGUACCAGCAGUAUCGAGUAUUGGGUACUCCCCCACUGCUUCGUUCUUUCCUUCUAAGUACUUCGAGGUUCGCUCGUUCUUCAAAGUCAGGUGGAAAUGAGUACCGGAGGGGAAGAGCAGACCACCUGCCGGAACCGUUAGACUUGUUCGAAAUGCGCUGACCGUGAGAACAACUAGGGUAUACUCAGUAAUUCGGCAAAACACGCGUUCCAACUCUAUCAACCCCGGAUAUUGACACAAAACCACUCGAACAAGGAAGGAAACUCCCAAAGGGUUAGGGAAGAGUUAGGUUUCAAGACCGAGUCCGACACUGAUGUUGAAAAUAACUGGAUCUAGACUACCACUAUCAAUCCUUAUUAAGUUUAAAAAAAGUCCCAAAUAACUUGACGUGGUGUGUAUUCAUUAUCUAUAAUUGGAUACAAUUGUGAUUAUAAACAUUAAACAAUGUAGUACUACAAAUUAUAACGGUCCUCAAAAAAGAACUUUUCUUUUAUAUUUUAAAUGUGGAGAACGUGGUGACUAUCUCUACACGGAACGACAUUAUUCUACUACCCGAGUACUGAAUAGAAAGAACCUGUUUUGUUCCUUAGAUCGGUAUUGAUACAUGUAUAGACCUAUGAGUAGAAAAAAAAGAGUUCGAUAGUACAGUUCACAUCUCCUUUACUACUAUAUGUCUUAUUCCUCUUUCUGUACGACUGUCAUGUAUACCAAGGUUAAAAGUAGUGUGAUACACGAUUAUAUACGAGAGUUACUAUUAUACGGUGGAACGCGAUAGAUGUGUGCAUUUUACAAGAAGAAAACAUAUUAAUAUGUGAUAUUUUAAUAACAUACGAAUGGAAACCACCUUAAAGUCUCAACUUUCCUGUAGUUCAAAGGUACGCUCCCCUCAAUUAAAACCAACAGGAAACAAAGUAUUUUUUACAACCAUCGUAAAUCUUGAUACAAAUAAACCACAUUGGCCUUAAUUAGUGACCAAUUUGUAUAUCUUCCUCAGAGAGAUAACCUUCCCCUUUUAUAUUAUAAUCUGUGGUAAAUAAAAAGACGAGCGACUACGUACGUUACAUAGUAAACCGGAACUAAAUUACAUGACGUGAAAAGAAGUAACGAGAGACAAGAAAUUAUUCAGUCUGAGUAUAUCUUGGACUAUAAAGAAUCACUACAGAAGUCUAGGGUACUUACAGUAAAACGUGGCUUCCAAACAUUGGUAACCCCUUACAAAAGAACGAGACUACAUAGUUCAACGGUACCCCCACUAGAUCUCCAGAGAAGGAACAGGCUUCAUACAGUAUGGAUUAGUUCUGUACAAGUAAAUUAAAUGGGCAGUACAUUUACUGUGUUGUACUAAGUGAACACAUAUCACAUUUUUAUAUAAAUAAAUACCGUGUGUCCACAAGUUUAAUAUCAACACUUUGCACAUAUCACAUCUUUAUAUUAAUAAUUCCCUACACUGCAGUGUCACCAGCACGGAGCAGAAGAGGCUCAGAGACGAACACCAAACACAAGAAAUCUAUACAAG